rnacentral:rRNA from 1 species
UAACCCUACGGGGGGCAGCAGUGGGGAAUAUUGCACAAUGGGGGGAACCCUGAUGCAGCGACGCCGCGUGGGUGAGGAAGUACUUCGGUAUGUAAAGCCCUAUCAGCAGGGAAGAAAAUGACGGUACCUGACUAAGAAGCCCCGGCUAACUACGUGCCAGCAGCCGCGGUAAUACGUAGGGAGCGAGCGUUAUCCGGAUUUAUUGGGUGUAAAGGGUGCGUAGACGGGAAAAUAAGUUAGUUGUGAAAUCCCUCGGCUCAACUGAGGAA